CAAUAAAUGUGGAGUAUAUUAUAUUCUAAUAUAAUAUAAUGGAAUAUUAUUCAGCCAUAAAAAGAAGAAAAUCCUGCCAUUUGUGACAACACACAGACGAACCUGGAGGACAUUAUGCUAAGCGAAAUAAAUCAAACACAAAAAGAAACAAAAAACAUGUUUACUAGGUGAGAAGAAGAUGUAGCUUAACUGCUAAUUGUAGCUUAACUGCUCCGUGGCAUGUGGGAUCUUCCUGGACCGGGGCACAAACCUGUGUCCCCUGCAUCGGCAGGUGGACUCCCAACCACUGCGCCACCAGGGAAGCCCGGGACACCCCUUCUUGCUUGGAGAACUGAGCCACUUUGCCAGAGAGACACUGCAUCAAUUUCCUAGUCACAGGUGAAAAGGGUUGAGGACAUAGCCUUUAUCUUCCCUUUAAAGAAUGGGACCAUGAGUUACCUUUCAGCCCAGGCAUGAUGGUAACCAUUUUCCACACAGCCUUGUUUUGCUUUGAGCCUGUGAAAACUAACAAUUCAUUUAGAUUUUACCUAAAAUCAACCCUUCCCCCAAUCCUGUAACUACAGCUCUGGUUUCUGGUGAGACACCGCAUAUUUCCACUAGUGUGUGACCUCCUUGCUGAAGCAACAGGAUCCUGCCUCAAUGGACAAAAAUGCCCCUUGGCUUUAUCUCCAGGAUAAACAUAGCUGCAAAGGAGUCAUCCUUAGACCUUGCCAAGGAAAAGAAGCAGCUGCAGUCAUCAAAAUUCCUGACAAGGGCCGUGUCCCUGUGUCCCAAUAGUGACUACACCAGAAGCUUGGAGGGGAACUCCUCUGAAACUCCCUACGGCACCCUGUCCAGCCGUCUUUUUCACUCCCCUUCAGAGACUUCCUGCUGUGGAAAGCCAUGCCCGGUUUUGCACAUAAGACAACAUCAUCAGCUUCCUUUAAAAAAAAAAAUCUCUGCUGUGCUGCAAACCAUAGAUCUUUAAAACACAGCAUUUUAAAAGAAGAAGGUAGACCACGAUUCAGUUUUACUUCUUUUUCCAGUGCUGUAUUAUAGCACUUAUCCAAUUGACCCUGUAGUAGAGAUUUUGUUUGCAAAAUCUAUAAAUAGAUACAUAUAUUAUUUAUAGAUAAUUAUGCAUAAGUAGAUGUCCAUCUCUCUCAAACAUCAUUUAGAGCUAAAGCAGAAGGACUCACGAUUAAUACAACCUAUUUUCCCUCAGAAAAACCCUACCCCCCGGGGGCCAGGCACGGGGCUCUGUCCACUCCCGGCGGCCUCCAUUGGCUUUGCUGAGCCUCAGAGGCUCUGAGCCACAGCGGGAGACCUCGAACAGACCUGAAGCUCCAGGGGCUCCUUCAGGACUGGGUCCCCCAGGGGGCAUAAAGGACUUGCAGUUCCACUCCGAGCUUCACCACAAGAUCCAAGUGGCAAGUUUGAUCACGAGCUUUGGCAUUUCUGAAAAGCAGACAGGCCACAGGCUCUCAAAUACUAAAGUCACUUAGUGACAGAUGUCGCCCUGAGUAACCCAGUUGAGGGAUCUCCACGGCUGUCCCUGCUUCAUGAUAUUAGACCGAGGAGAUGCGUCCAGUGACAGCAUCAUCCUUCCAAUCUUUCCCUGUUGAACGGAAACGGAGCGCGCAUCUGCGCCACCACCUGUCCCAUUGAGAUGAUGACACAUUUUGGGAGACUUUCACAUGAAUGUUGCCUAGGUGGGGGUCUCUCUUCCCUCAGUGUCCCAAAGCUCUCCUUGGGCCUGGAAAAAUGUGGCUAUCUCUAGGGACGCUGGGUUUCAGCAAGCCCUGUUUCAUGCCCACGGACUGAAAUUGCCUUGGGAUGGACUAGUUCCUGGUUUGGCAUGAAACAAUCCCAGACUCUCAGGAAAAAACAAAGUGGGCAGAUUCAAAGAUCCCAGGGGCAAGCAAAUGAGCGGCAAGAUGUCUGUUCCCCAGGGGAGACAGGCCCCGCCCCUCAGCCCACCCCCCACCCUUCAGCGGAACUCAGUGCAGGAAGAAGUUUCUGGUCCCAAGGGCAGCAGAAAAGGUUUUCCUGGGGUUUCCCAUGGCCUGAUUAGCAUAAGGGUGACUGACUCUGCUUUGUGUUCUAAAGGCCCUUCCCAUGAGACACAGGGCAGAGGUUCUGUAAUUACCAAAUCUGUAGCAAUACUGAAUUCUCCGGGUAACCUGGAACCUUGAAAAAGGGCAAAGCCCAGCCUCCUCUCCAGUGUCAGCUGCUGUAAAGCUCCCCAGAUGCCAGCAUGAGGCUCCAUUACCUCCUGCGUGUUCCUGUUGCCUGUGUCAGGUAAGCUGGGCCCCGGAAGCCGGAGGGAUGAGCAGGUGGAAAGGAUAGGAUAGUCACUCUCUUCUGUCUCUCCCUCUCUCUGUCCCUCAUCCCUGUCUCCACACGAUCAGACUAAAUAAACUGUAUGGAUUGCUCACGAGAACCCAGCACUGUGUCCUUUGGUGUUGAAGGAGUCUGAGAACCUUCCUGCACAAUUCCCAGCCGCUUCUGAGCCAUUAUGUUUUUUCAGCAAAACACUUUAGGAGGCGUGUCUGCAGACCCCACUUCCUCUCAGACCCUCUCAGGGGGUUUCAGAACACUCCACCACUCCACCAAGAUGACUCCAGUCAACAGGGGAUCAUAAUACAUCCUUUAUGACCUCACUCCGCCCUUCCUCUGCCCACUGUUGAUCUGACCCCUAAUUAUGUGGCAACGGACAGGUGCUCGCAGGUGUCCCUGCCUGAAUGGGCAGGCAGCAGACAGCCUGAGGAGGCUGAAGAAGCCAAUUGCAAGG